UACGUAGGGUGCGAGCGUUAAUCGGAAUUACUGGGCGUAAAGCGUGCGCAGGCGGUUCUCCAAGUCCGUUGUGAAAGCCCCGGGCUCAACCUGGGAAUGGCAGUGGAAACUAGGGGACUGGAAUCUGGCAGAGGGGGGUGGAAUGCCGCGUGUAGCAGUGAAAUGCGUAGAUAUUCGCAAGAACACCAGUGGCGAAGGCGGCUCACUGGCCCGGUACUGACGCUGAGGUGCGAAAGCGUGGGGAGCAAACAGG
rnacentral:rRNA from 1 species